UCUCCCUUGCCUGUGACAUCUAGGAUAUCCUUAAACACCUCUGCAUUUUUCAGUUCCAUUUCCUCUUUGGAGUCUUUUCCUUCCCCUCUCACCAACUCUUCACCUCUGCUUUUACAUUUGAUUUCUCCUAACGCUUCCCUUUGUACUUGGAGGAGGGCUCUAGAUGAUGCCAAUUCUUUCCCAGCCCACGGAUCCUCAAAUGCAGAAGGGGAAAGCAUAUAAACAGGAGAAGUUUGGGCAAGCCACAGGCCUCUGAUGGAGAUCUUCUGCUCCUGAUCUCAACACAGCCACACAGCUCCCUCCUCCCACCACCACGCACCGUGGAGGACACACAGCGGCAGAGAGGGAGAAUAUCAGGAUUCUGCAAGGCCCCGCUCAUGGAACGGAGUCCUCGGUAAUGAGCAAUUUGCAGAUACUGAACAAAGACACAGCGCUUUGUCCAGAGGACAGUCCCUGAUGGUGCGUGAUCAUGGACGCAGCACUACUGGAGGGCAGAGCCAUCCAUGGCCCUCUCCCUGACAAAUGCACCUUCCAGCCUGCUACAUGUCAGGGCAGCCACUUAUCUCCACCGCCACAAGUCCCAACCACACAGCCUCAGCCCAGAUUUCCAAAGAAGGCACAACACUGAUUUUUAAAGGAAGAAACAGGGCAAAAAAUACAAUAGCAAAGGCUCACCCAAAACAUCUGUGAGCCUGUGCCAGGCUCAAGCAAUUGUGCACAGACCAGGCUUGACACCCACACUCCCUCCGUGCCACACAGUGGCAGAGGAAAGCCAAAUAUCCCAAAAAUGGAGGGUCGAUUUCCACAGGAGGGGGUGUCCAGGCAAGAUGAGCCCUGACAAGGAAUGGGUGAAGGUACAUUGGAGAAGAGGAAAGGAAACACGCAUCCCUACACUUCAUCUCCUCACAUCACAUCUCUAGGGAUUCUCAGCACCAGGCCCUGCUCCAUGGCCAUCACCCUGCCCUGGCUAAGGUGGUCUGGUCAGUGGGUUGAGCACACAAAUGCCCACUGCCCCCCCUUUGCCCCAGGCA